rnacentral:rRNA from 1 species
UACGGGGGGGGCAAGCGUUGUUCGGAUUUACUGGGCGUAAAGGGCGCGUAGGCGGUCAGCACAAGUCAGUUGUGAAAUCUCCGGGCUUAACUCGGAAAGGUCAACUGAUACUGUGCGACUAGAGUGCAGAAGGGGCAACUGGAAUUCUCGGUGUAGCGGUGAAAUGCGUAGAUAUCGAGAGGAACACCCGUGGCUAAGGCGGCUCUCUAGUACGGUACUGACGCUGAGACGCGAAAGCGUGGGGAGCGAACAGG